CUUAUCAGUACUGGCAGGACCAUCUUUCCGUGGCUGGCGCUUACUAGCAUCAUCAUUUUCACGCAUGGAAAGAGAUAUCCUCCCAUUCUCAGUGUUUACUUCAACUAACCUCACCUGCACCUCUUGUCCAACAGAAACAACACUUGCAACAUCCUUAACAAAGCUGUUGCUCAACCUGGAAACAUGCACCAGUCCAUCUGUGAAAGCUCCAAAAUCAACAAAAGCACCAAAUGGUUGGAUUGAUCGUACUUUCCCAGUAAACAUUGCACCAGGAAUAAGCUCCUCAUUCUUUACAGGUGGCAUCUCACUUUUCCUAACAGGUCUUGCUCGUUUUGAUUGAGUUGGAGGAGUAGAAUCUGGUUGGCUAGUCGAAUCUUCACUUGUUUCAACGGCAUCUGAAGGUAUUUCGGAUCCUCCACUGGAAACUUUUGUCACAGAAGAAUCGGAUUCCUCCACUGCCACAUCAGUCCCUGCGGUUGAUAAACAAAUUCCCAGUUUUCCAUGUAAGGCAUACCCUGUUCCGUAUUUUCGAAAUGAAGUAACAGAGGUUGAUAGAGGUAGGAUGAAUCUCUGAGAGGGUAAAGCAUAUCUCGUGUGUUUCCUUGAUGAACUGCAUCUUGUCAAACUAGUGUUCUUCCUUACUGUACAGGCAGCUCCAGGGAUGAAUGUAAUGUUGCUAACAGAAUAUGGGAUCAC
rnacentral:lncRNA from 1 species